AUUGAACGCUGGCGGCAGGCCUAACACAUGCAAGUCGCACGAGUGGCGGACGGGUGAGUAAUGUCUGGGAAACUGCCUGAUGGAGGGGGAUAACUACCGGAAACGGUAGCUAAUACCGCAUAACAUCAGAUGUGCCCAGAUGGGAAUAGCUAGUUGGUGGGGUAACGGCGCACCAAGCCGACGAUCCCUAGCUGGUCUGAGAGGAUGAACUGCCACAAUGGAACUGAGACAGGGUCCGGACGCCUACGGUAGGCAGCAGUGGGGAAUAUUGCACAAUGGGCGCAAGCCUGAUGCAGCCAUGCCGCGUGUAUGAAGAAGGCCGUCGGGUUGUAAAGUACUUUCAGCGGGGAGGCGUUACCCGCAGAAGAAGCACCGGCUAACUCCGUGCCAGCCGCCGCGGUAAUAC
rnacentral:rRNA from 1 species